rnacentral:rRNA from 1 species
AACGCUGGCGGCAGGCCUAACACAUGCAAGUCGAACGAACUCUUCGGAGUUAGUGGCGGACGGGUGAGUAACACGUGGGAACGUGCCUUUUGGUUCGGAAUAACUCAGGGAAACUUGUGCUAAUACCGAAUGUGCCCUUCGGGGGAAAGAUUUAUCGCCAUUAGAGCGGCCCGCGUCUGAUUAGCUAGUUGGUGAGGUAAAGGCUCACCAAGGCGACGAUCAGUAGCUGGUCUGAGAGGAUGAUCAGCCACAUUGGGACUGAGACACGGCCCAAACUCCUACGGGAGGCAGCAGUGGGGAAUCUUGCGCAAUGGGCGAAAGCCUGACGCAGCCAUGCCGCGUGAAUGAUGAAGGUCUUAGGAUUGUAAAAUUCUUUCACCGGGGACGAUAAUGACGGUACCCGGAGAAGAAGCCCCGGCUAACUUCGUGCCAGCAGCCGCGGUAAUACGAAGGGGGCUAGCGUUGCUCGGAAUUACUGGGCGUAAAGGGAGCGUAGGCGGACAUUUAAGUCAGGGGUGAAAUCCCGGGGCUCAACCUCGGAAUUGCCUUUGAUACUGGGUGUCUUGAGUAUGAGAGAGGUGUGUGGAACUCCGAGUGUAGAGGUGAAAUUCGUAGAUAUUCGGAAGAACACCAGUGGCGAAGGCGACACACUGGCUCAUUACUGACGCUGAGGCUCGAAAGCGUGGGGAGCAAACAGGAUUAGAUACCCUGGUAGUCCACGCCGUAAACGAUGAUUGCU